rnacentral:misc_RNA from 1 species
AAGGAUCAUUAAUGAAACUUCAAGUCGGCUGUUCUGUGCUGGUGGCAACACAUGUGCACGUUCAGUCGCAAUCCACACACCUGUGCACUUUGACUCUGAGCACCGCCGGUAACAUGGCAGAAGGUUUGAGAUGAAGGUCUUAAACCUGGUACUCGAGUAGUUUACACACUCUGUAUGUAAUAGAAUGUAACUGUACAAUGUACAACUAUAAACAACUUUCAACAACGGAUCUCUUGGCUCUC